UUCAGGGGUAAACCUGAGAAGCCCGAAAGGUCGAAUGGGGAAAUUCAAUCGCGUUUCGGCCGCCGGCGUGGUACGGUCGAGUGACGGUCGGCGUACGCGUCGUCCGCGCCUUCCGUUCUUCGAACCGGCGUCGAACGCGUGCACUUUUCCCCUAGUAGGACGUCGCGAUCCGUUGGGUGUCGGUCUACGGCUCGCGGUGGAGCCCGUGCGGUCGCUUCGCGGCGUAUCGCACGGACCCGCGGUGUCCCGACCGACUCGCUCGACGGUAUACAGAUGGCGCGGGGCCGCUACCUUUCAGUUAGCGUUCGGCCCGCGGCAAGCGCGUUCGUUGUUUGACGGCGAUCGGACCUGGUGCCGGUCCCGUCCGCGAACGACUGUUGGCUGCGGUGUUCUCGAACAGACCUCGAAUCGAAACGCCGAUCUGCGACGCUAUAGCUUUGGGUACUUUCAGGACCCACGGACCAAGGAGUCUAGCAUGUACGCGAGUCAUUGGGACAUAACUAAACCUAAAGGCGUAAUGAAAGUGAAGGUCCGCCUUGCGCGGAUCGAGGGAGGAUGAGCGAAUCGCCCUUAAAAGCGGCCGCUCCGCACUCCCGGGGCGUCUCGUUCUCAUCGCGAGAAGAGGCGCACCAAGAGC
rnacentral:rRNA from 1 species